rnacentral:rRNA from 1 species
UAGCCGGACUGAGAGGUUGAACGGCCACAUUGGGACUGAGACACGGCCCAGACUCCUACGGGAGGCAGCAGUGGGGAAUAUUGCACAAUGGGGGAAACCCUGAUGCAGCGACGCCGCGUGGAGGAAGAAGGUCUUCGGAUUGUAAACUCCUGUUGUUGGGGAAGAUAAUGACGGUACCCAACAAGGAAGUGACGGCUAACUACGUGCCAGCAGCCGCGGUAAAACGUAGGUCACAAGCGUUGUCCGGAAUUACUGGGUGUAAAGGGAGCGCAGGCGGGAAGACAAGUUGGAAGUGAAAUCUAUGGGCUCAACCCAUAAACUGCUUUCAAAACUGUUUUUCUUGAGUAGUGCAGAGGUAGGCGGAAUUCCCGGUGUAGCGGUGGAAUGCGUAGAUAUCGGGAGGAACACCAGUGGCGAAGGCGGCCUACUGGGCACCAACUGACGCUGAGGCUCGAAAGUGUGGGUAGCAAACAGGAUUAGAUACCCUGGUAGUCCACACCGUAAACGAUGAUUACUAGGUGUUGGAGGAUUGACCCCUUCAGUGCCGCAGUUAACACAAUAAGUAAUCCACCUGGGGAGUACGACCGCAAGGUUGAAACUCAAAGGAAUUGACGGGGGCCCGCACAAGCAGUGGAGUAUGUGGUUUAAUUCGACGCAACGCGAAGAACCUUACCAAGUCUUGACAUCCCUUGACAGGCAUAGAAAUAUGUUUUCUCUUCGGAGCAAGGAGACAGGUGGUGCAUGGUUGUCGUCAGCUCGUGUCGUAAGAUGUUGGGUUAAGUCCCGCAACGAGCGCAACCCUUAUGGUCAGUUACUACGCAAGAGGACUCUGGCCAGACUGCCGUUGACAAAACGGAGGAAGGUGGGGAUGACGUCAAAUCAUCAUGCCCUUUAUGACUUGGGCUACGCACGUACUACAAUGGCGUUAAACAAAGAGAAGCAAGACCGCGAGGUGGAGCAAAACUCAGAAACAACGUCCCAGUUCGGACUGCAGGCUGCAACUCGCCUGCACGAAGUCGGAAUUGCUAGUAAUCGUGGAUCAGCAUGCCACGGUGAAUACGUUCCCGGGCCUUGUACACACCGCCCGUCACACCAUGAGAGCCGGGGGGACCCGAAGUCGGUAGUCUAACCGCAAGGAGGACGCCGCCGAAGGUAAAACUGGUGAUUGGGGUGAAGUCGUAACAAGGUAG